rnacentral:rRNA from 1 species
GACAAGGUUCCAGGCCCUACGGGGUGCAGCAGGCGCGAAACCUCCGCAAUGUGAGAAAUCGCGACGGGGGGAUCCCAAGUGCCAUUCUUAACGGGAUGGCUUUUCAUUAGUGUAAAGAGCUUUUGGAAUAAGAGCUGGGCAAGACCGGUGCCAGCCGCCGCGGUAACACCGGCAGCUCUAGUGGUAACAAUUUUUAUUGGGCCUAAAGCGUCCGUAGCCGGUUUAAUAAGUCUCUGGUGAAAUCCUGUAGCUUAACUGUGGGAAUUGCUGGAGAUACUAUUAGACUUGAGACCGGGAGAGGUUAGAGGUACUCCCAGGGUAGAGGUGAAAUUCUGUAAUCCUGGGAGGACCGCCUGUUGCGAAGGCGUCUAACUGGAACGGUUCUGACGGUGAGGGACGAAAGUUAGGGGCGCGAACCGGAUUAGAUACCCGGGUAGUCCUAACUGUAAACGAUGCGGACUUGGUGUUGGGGUGGCUUUGAGCUGCUCCAGUGCCGAAGGGAAGCUGUUAAGUCCGCCGCCUGGGAAGUACGGUCGCAAGACUGAAACUUAA